rnacentral:rRNA from 1 species
AAAACGGCUCUCGGCAACGGAUAUCUUGGCUCUCGCAUCGAUGAAGAACGUAGCGAAAUGCGAUACUUGGUGUGAAUUGCAGAAUCCCGUGAACCAUCGAGUCUUUGAACGCAAGUUGCGCCCUAAGCCUUCUGGCCGAGGGCACGUCUGCCUGGGUGUCACAAA